GAAUCUUCCGCAAUGGACGAAAGUCCGACGGAGCAACGCCGCGUGAGUGAUGAAGGUUUUCGGAUCGUAAAACUCUGUUGUUAGGGAAGAACAAGUACGAGAGUAACUGCUCGUGCCUUGACGGUACCUAACCAGAAAGCCACGGCUAACUACGUGCCAGCAGCCGCGGUAAUACGUAGGUGGCGAGCGUUGUCCGGAAUUAUUGGGCGUAAAGCGCGCGCAGGCGGUCCUUUAAGUCUGAUGUGAAAGCCCACGGCUCAACCGUGGAGGGUCAUUGGAAACUGGGGGACUUGAGUACAGAAGAGAAGAGUGGAAUUCCACGUGUAGCGGUGAAAUGCGUAGAGAUGUGGAGGAACACCAGUGGCGAAGGCGACUCUUUGGUCUGUAACUGACGCUGAGGCGCGAAAGCGUGGGGAGCAAA
rnacentral:rRNA from 1 species